rnacentral:miRNA from 1 species
CCACUGAACCACAUUCCCAGCCCUUUUAUUUAUUUAUAUAUAUAUAUAUAUAUAUAUAUAUAUAUAUAUAUAUAUAUAUAUAUAUAUAUAUAUAUAUAUAUAUAAAUAAAUAAAAGGGCUGGGAAUGUGGUUCAGUGG